CUCUCUCUCUCUCUCUCUCUCUCUCUCUCUCUCUCACUUUACCCUCCCGCCUCUGCAUCUCAGCCCCAACCACUAAACCUCCGAACAAAGGACAACCUCACCCUCACCCUCUCUCGCACCGGCAAAAUCACCCCUCCACCCUCUCCCACUCUCGAUCGAAUCCUCUUUCGUUGAAACCUCGUUGUCGAUCAAACCCUCAGGCCAUGUAACCCUCACAACAAUCUCACUCCUCUCUCUGUGUCGAUCUCACUGUCUGCGACGUCACCGGUGGCUGUACGGUUGGCGACAGUGGUGAUGUGAACGAUGAAGGAGUUGACAGGAGCGUUAAACUUACGGUCGAAAUGAGAGAGGGAGUUUAUCGACGGAGAGGAUCAUUUCCGCAACAGCUUGAACCGGAUCGUGAAGGGCCUGUGGAUCGCGAAGGGCGCCGUGGGGAAUUACUCGGCGUGUUUGUUGGGUAAAGCGCUGACGUGUCGGUAUUACCGUGGGCCCGUGGCCCGUGGGGAAAAUUACUUGGAUAUCGAGGUGGAUAUUGGAAGCUCGGUGAUUGCGAACGCGGUGUUGGACGGCGAUGACGGUGGACAUGGGGUUCGUGGUGGAGGCGCAUGUUAGGCACACCGACUAUUAUGAGUCUGACUAAGCACUAGAUUAUAUUCCGUUGAGUUUGUUAGAAGUUAGUUUGUGAGGUAGUGCUGUGUUUCUCUGCUGAGAGAGAGAGAGAUGUGAGUACAAGUAAUAAUGGACACCAACUGUUUGUGAUAUGGAUUGAAUGAAAAACUCAGUUUUAUCU